GAUGAACGCUGGCGGCGUGCCUAAUACAUGCAAGUAGAGCGCUGAAGGAAGGAGCUUGCUCUUUCCGGAUGAGUUGCGAACGGGUGAGUAACGCGUAGGUAACCUGCCUGGUAGCGGGGGAUAACUAUUGGAAACGAUAGCUAAUACCGCAUAACAGUAGAUGUUGCAUGAUAUCUACUUAAAAGGUGCAAUUGCACCACUACCAGAUGGACCUGCGUUGUAUUAGCUAGUUGGUGAGGUAACGGCUCACCAAGGCGACGAUACAUAGCCGACCUGAGAGGGUGAUCGGCCACACUGGGACUGAGACACGGCCCAGACUCCUACGGGAGGCAGCAGUAGGGAAUCUUCGGCAAUGGACGGAAGUCUGACCGAGCAACGCCGCGUGAGUGAAGAAGGUUGUCGGAUCGUAAAGCUCUGUUGUAAGAGAAGAACGAGUGUGAGAGUGGAAAGUUCACACUGUGACGGUAGCUUACCAGAAAGGGACGGCUAACUACGUG
rnacentral:rRNA from 1 species